UACGUAGGGGGCAAGCGUUGUCCGGAAUCAUUGGGCGUAAAGAGCGUGUAGGCGGCCUUAUAAGUCGGCUGUGAAAGUCAAGGGCUCAACCCUUGAAUGCCGGCCGAUACUGUGAGGCUAGAGUCCGGAAGAGGCGAGUGGAAUUCCUGGUGUAGCGGUGAAAUGCGCAGAUAUCGGGAGGAACACCAAUGGCGAAGGCAGCUCACUGGGACGGUACUGACGCUGAGACGCGAAAGCGUGGGGAGCAAACAGG
rnacentral:rRNA from 1 species